AGCUCAGGUGGUCUAGUGGUUAGAGCGUCCGCCCCGAAUGCGGGGGGGUCGAAGGGUUCGAAUCCCGGCUCAGUCA